GGGCGCUUAGCUCAGUUGGUUAGAGCAUCUCGUUUACACCGAGAGGGUCGGGGGUUCGAGUCCCUCAGCGCCCA
rnacentral:tRNA from 2 species